rnacentral:misc_RNA from 1 species
CAGAGUUGCAAAACUCCCAACCAUUGUGAACGAACCCGUUAUAGUUGCUUCGGCGGGUAGUGCGCUGAUACCACCCGCCGGUAGCAUGCAAACUCUAAAUUACAGUGGAUCUCUGAGUGGCUUAUUCAAUGAGUUA